GCUUAACCGACUGAGCCACCCAGGUGUCCGAGGAGGAUGUAUUUGAUGGUAGAGUUGAACUGGAACAAGAUAGGGGUGACAUAUGUGAGUGACAUUUCAAAACAGGAAUCUAGAUUGAGUGGCACUCAGGCCAAAGGGCGCCCAGGUCAUGCCCAAG